GAUGAACGCUGGCGGCGUGCCUAAUACAUGCAAGUCGAGCGAACAGACGAGGAGCUUGCUCCUUUGACGUUAGCGGCGGACGGGUGAGUAACACGUGGGUAACCUACCUAUAAGACUGGGAUAACUUCGGGAAACCGGAGCUAAUACCGGAUAAUAUUUCGAACCGCAUGGUUCGAUAGUGAAAGAUGGCUCUGCUAUCACUUAUAGAUGGACCUGCGCCGUAUUAGCUAGUUGGUAAGGUAACGGCUUACCAAGGCAACGAUACGUAGCCGACCUGAGAGGGUGAUCGGCCACACUGGAACUGAGACACGGUCCAGACUCCUACGGGAGGCAGCAGUAGGGAAUCUUCCGCAAUGGGCGAAAGCCUGACGGAGCAACGCCGCGUGAGUGAUGAAGGUCUUCGGAUCGUAAAACUCCGUUAUUAGGGAAGAACAAACGUGUAAGUAACUGUGCACGUCUUGACGGUACCUAAUCAGAAAGCCACGGCUAACUACGUG
rnacentral:rRNA from 1 species